rnacentral:tRNA from 1 species
CUGGGGUUGUGGCUCAGCGGUAGAGUGCUCGCCUAGCACGUGCGAGGCGCUGGUUCGAUCCUCAGCACCACAUA